UUCCGGUUGAUCCCGCCGGAGGUUACCGCUAUCGAGGUUCGACUAAGCCAUGCGAGUCGAAUGUAGCAAUACAUGGCGAACUGCUCAGUAACACGUGGACAACCUGCCCUUAGGUUGGGUAUAAACCCGGGAAACUGGGUAUAAUACCCGAUAGGUCUCGAUUGCUGGAAUGCAUCGAGAUUUAAAGCUCCGGCGCCUAAGGAUGGGUCUGCGGCCUAUCAGGUAGUAGUGGGUGUAGCGUACCUACUAGCCUACGACGGGUACGGGUUGUGAGAGCAAGAGCCCGGAGAUGGAUUCUGAGACACGAAUCCAGGCCCUACGGGGUGCAGCAGGCGCGAAAACUUUACAAUGCUGGCAACAGCGAUAAGGGAACCUCGAGUGCCAGGUUACAAAUCUGGCUGUCGAGAUGCCUAAAAAGCAUUUCAUAGCAAGGGCCGGGCAAGACCGGUGCCAGCCGCCGCGGUAACACCGGCGGCUCGAGUGGUAACCGUUAUUAUUGGGUCUAAAGGGUCUGUAGCCGGCCGGAUAAGUCUCUUGAGAAAUCUGGCAGCUUAACUGUCAGGCUUUCAGGAGAUACUGUCUGGCUCGAGGCCGGGAGAGGUGAGAGGUACUUCAGGGGUAGGGGUGAAAUCUUGUAAUCCUUGAAAGACCACCAGUGGCGAAGGCGUCUCACCAGAACGGACCUGACGGCAAGGGACGAAAGCUAGGGGCACGAACCGGAUUAGAUACCCGGGUAGUCCUAGCCGUAAACGAUACUCGCUAGGUGUCGGCCACGGUGCGACCGUUGUCGGUGCCGUAGGGAAGCCGUGAAGCGAGCCACCUGGGAAGUACGGCCGCAAGGCUGAAACUUAAAGGAAUUGGCGGGGGAGCACUACAACGG
rnacentral:rRNA from 1 species